AUGAAAGCUCUUGAAUACAGCAAACCAUGCACAGAGGAGCAGACCAGAGGAAAAAAGAUGUCUGUUGCAGGCUGCCUGGUACUACUUGUGAUUCAGCCUCCUUUUGGCAGACAGGUUUUCUUCCAACCUACACACCAGGGAGGCGGUGAAACAACUUCAAUUCACUCAAUCUCUGGGACAUGGAGUCUAGUGGCAAUUUUCCGGAAUGUAUUACUGCAAAAAAUCAUUAAAAAAUCUCAGCAAGCGAAGCCUGGCAGGACAAAUGCAAGCAGCCACUGCAUCAAUAUCUCUCUUCUUCUACAAAACCAGCUGUGGGGAAAAAUGGUAAUAUUAGAUGAAGGAAACAAAUCUCAGCAUGCAGGAUCAACAUAUGGUGGCACUAAAUACCAGAUGCCAAAAGAAGAACUAAUGCUAUUUGCAGGCCUAUUUCAUGCCAUAAUUUUUCUAUGUGAGACAUAUGAAACAUACAUACUUUAUGGUGACCGAUAGCAACAAAUUUGUUGUUGCACAAAAUAAAAUGUAUAUAAGCAGUGUCUUCUCUCCUAUU
ensembl:lncRNA